rnacentral:misc_RNA from 1 species
AAGUCGUAACAAGGUAACCGUAGGUGAACCUGCGGUUGGAUCAUUAUUGAAUCUUUUUAUCAGACUGAAAUUUAUUUUCAGACCCUGACAAAGGAUAGGAAACUAUCCAAUACAUUCAUGUGAACUUGUUUUAGGCUGAAUAAGCCAAGGUUUUUGGUGAUUCUUUUAUUAUCUUGUAAGAAUUUUCUUAUAAGAGAUAAGAGGUCACCUUUUACUAUAAACAUUUUUAUUUUUUUUAUAUUUUUUUUAUAUUCAUUUCUAUGAAAAAAAAAACAACUUUUGACAACGGAUCUCUAGGCUCUC